UGACUCACAGUCUGUAUGUUUUCAUAUGUAAAAAAUUUGCCACUGACAAUACAAACGGGAGUUUUGAGCAGUGUAGAGUAGGGCUUGUUGUUUGUCGUUUCUCCG